CCUACGGGGGGCAGCAGUGAGGAAUAUUGGUCAAUGGGCGCGGGCCUGAACCAGCCAAGUAGCGUGAAGGAUGACUGCCCUACGGGUUGUAAACUUCUUUUAUAAAGGAAUAAAGUGAGGCACGUGUGCCUUUUUGUAUGUACUUUAUGAAUAAGGAUCGGCUAACUCCGUGCCAGCAGCCGCGGUAAUACGGAGGAUCCGAGCGUUAUCCGGAUUUAUUGGGUUUAAAGGGUGCGUAGGCGGACUGGAAAGUCAGCGGUAAAAUCGAGAGGCUCAACCUCUUUCCGCCGUUGAAACUGUCGGUC
rnacentral:rRNA from 1 species